rnacentral:rRNA from 1 species
UACAGAGGGUGCAAGCGUUGUUCGGAAUCAUUGGUCGUAAAGCGCGUGUAGGCGGGGCAUUAUGUCGGAUGUGAAAGCCCUUGGCUUAACCAAGGAAUUGCAUCCGAAACUGGUGCUCUUGAGUACGGGAGAGGGAAGCGGAAUUCCCAGUGUAGAGGUGAAAUUCGUAGAUAUUGGGAGGAACACCGGUGGCGAAGGCGGCUUCCUGGACCGAUACUGACGCUGAGACGCGAAAGCGUGGGGAG